CAGAGAAUAGUCAAAAGAAAAGUCAAGGAUCAAGGGAGUACGGAAAUCGGGAUAAACGAGAAAGCCAAGCCAAAAGUCGGGGAGCCAGAUAGGAGAAUCGUCAGUACGGAAGCCAAGGAUCAAAAUACCAGAAAAACAGAUAACUAAGUAUAAGAGCACCAGAGGAACAAUCAAGAACUACACUAGGGCACUGAGGGGUGGAC